rnacentral:rRNA from 1 species
AGAGUUUGAUCCUGGCUCAGGACGAACGCUGGCGGCGUGCCUAACACAUGCAAGUCGAACGGACGAGGCCCCUUCGGGGACCGAGUUAGUGGCGGACGGGCGAGUAACGCGUGAGCAACCUGCCUUUCAGAGGGGGACAACAGUUGGAAACGACUGCUAAUACCGCAUGAUGCAGCGAGAUCGCAUGGUCUUGCUGUCAAAGAUUUAUCGCUGAAAGAUGGGCUCGCGUCUGAUUAGCUAGUUGGAGGGGUAACGGCCCACCAAGGCGACGAUCAGUAGCCGGACUGAGAGGUUGAACGGCCACAUUGGGACUGAGAUACGGCCCAGACUCCUACGGGAGGCAGCAGUGGGGAAUAUUGGGCAAUGGGGGAAACCCUGACCCAGCAACGCCGCGUGAAGGAAGAAGGCUUUCGGGUUGUAAACUUCUUUUACCAGGGACGAAGAACGUGACGGUACCUGGAGAAAAAGCCACGGCUAACUACGUGCCAGCAGCCGCGGUAAUACGUAGGUGGCAAGCGUUGUCCGGAUUUACUGGGUGUAAAGGGCGUGUAGGCGGAGCUGCAAGUCAGAUGUGAAAUCUGGGGGCUUAACCCUCAAACUGCAUUUGAAACUGUAGCCCUUGAGUAUCGGAGAGGCAGGCGGAAUUCCUAGUGUAGCGGUGAAAUGCGUAGAUAUUAGGAAGAACACCAGUGGCGAAGGCGGCCUGCUGGACGACAACUGACGCUGAGGCGCGAAAGCGUGGGGAGCAAACAGGAUUAGAUACCCUGGUAGUCCACGCUGUAAACGAUGAAUACUAGGUGUGGGGGGACUGACCCCCUCCGUGCCGGAGUUAACACAAUAAGUAUUCCACCUGGGGAGUACGACCGCAAGGUUGAAACUCAAAGGAAUUGACGGGGGCCCGCACAAGCAGUGGAUUAUGUGGUUUAAUUCGACGCAACGCGAAGAACCUUACCGGGAUUUGACAUCCUACUAACGAAGCAGAGAUGCAUUAGGUGCCCUUCGGGGAAAGUAGAGACAGGUGGUGCAUGGUUGUCGUCAGCUCGUGUCGUGAGAUGUUGGGUUAAGUCCCGCAACGAGCGCAACCCCUAUUGUUAGUUGCUACGCAAGAGCACUCUAGCGAGACUGCCGUUGACAAAACGGAGGAAGGCGGGGACGACGUCAAAUCAUCAUGCCCCUUAUGUCCCGGGCUACACACGUAAUACAAUGGCGGUCAACAAAGGGAAGCAAAGCCGCGAGGCAGAGCAAACCCCCAAAAGCCGUCUCAGUUCGGAUUGCAGGCUGCAACUCGCCUGCAUGAAGCUGGAAUUGCUAGUAAUCGUGGAUCAGAAUGCCACGGUGAAUACGUUCCCGGGCCUUGUACACACCGCCCGUCACACCAUGAGAGUCGGGAACACCCGAAGUCCGUAGUCUAACCCGCAAGGGAGGGCGCGGCCGAAGGUGGGUCUGAUAAUUGGGGUGAAGUCGUAACAAGGUA